UGGGGAAUAUUGGACAAUGGGCGCAAGCCUGAUCCAGCCAUGCCGCGUGAGUGAUGAAGGCCCUAGGGUUGUAAAGCUCUUUCACCGGUGAAGAUAAUGACGGUAACCGGAGAAGAAGCCCCGGCUAACUUCGUGCCAGCAGCCGCGGUAAUACGAAGGUGGCUAGCGUUGUUCGGAUUUACUGGGCGUAAAGCGCACGUAGGCGGACUUUUAAGUCAAGGGUGAAAUCCCGGGGCUCAACCCCGGAACUGCCUUUGAUACUGGAAGUCUUGAGUAUGGUAGAGGUGAGUGGAAUUCCGAGUGUAGAGGUGAAAUUCGUAGAUAUUCGGAGGAACACCAGUGGCGAAGGCGGCUCACUGGACCAUUACUGAAGCUGAGGUGCGAAAGGGUGGGGAGCAAACAGG
rnacentral:rRNA from 1 species